GCAAGUUGAACGAGAAAAGUUUACUUUUCUAGUAGCGAACGGGUGAGUAACACGUAUCUAAUCUACCUUGAAGUUGGGGAUAACUAGUGGAAACACUAGCUAAUACCGAAUAACACAUUUCAUCGCCUGAUGAUUUGUUGAAAGGGGCCUUUAAAGCCUCGCUUCUAGAUGAAGGUGCGGCUUAUUAGCUAGUUGGAGGUGUAAAAGACCAACAAGGCAACGAUGAGUAGCUAGUCUGAGAGGACGAAU
rnacentral:rRNA from 1 species